UACGAAGGGGGCUAGCGUUGUUCGGAAUUACUGGGCGUAAAGUGUGCGCAGGCGGCCGAGCAAGUCGAGUGUGAAAGCCCCGAGCUUAACUUGGGAACUGCGCUCGAAACUACUUGGCUAGAGUGUGGCAGAGGGAGGUGGAAUUCCACGUGUAGCGGUGAAAUGCGUAGAGAUGUGGAGGAACACCGAUGGCGAAGGCAGCCUCCUGGGCCAACACUGACGCUCAUGCACGAAAGCGUGGGGAGCAAACAGG
rnacentral:rRNA from 1 species